GACUUUGGGCCUUGCUCAGGACUCUAUGGGACUGCGUGUAACCUAGACGCCUCUCUCUCUCUCUCUCCAUCUCUCACUCUCUCUCUAGACGCGAGGCGAUGCCGCGAUUCCGACUCCUGUUGGUGUUGUGCCGAAGGAGCAGCGAUCUCCAUCUCCACUCCAUCCCCCGGCACUUCGCUUCCUGCCCCCUCCCUGUGGCAUCGCCUCUAGAUUUCUCCAAUCCCCGAGAACGAGAAGGAGACUCCUCGGAGGAGAAGCGUAGCGAGACGCUGUCGUCGAGGGUGGAGAGGCUGACGAGGGGGGAGUCGGUGGUGUCCGCUUUCCAGAGCUGGAUGCGAGAGGGAUUCGCCAUCCACAGGGGCGACAUCUUCCACACCGUCAAUCGGCUUCGGAAGCUCAAGAUGAACAAGAGAGCUCUCGAGGUUAUGGAGUGGGUGAUUAGAGAGAGACCUUACAAGCUGAAAGAGCUGGAAUACUCUUAUCUUCUGGAGUUCACAACCAAGAUUCAUGGCAUUUCACAUGGUGAAAGUCUCUUCCUUCGCGUUCCCCAUGAGUAUCAGAAUGAGUUGCUUUACAACAAUCUUGUCAUGGUGUGCUUGGAUAAGGGUUUGAUUAGGCUUUCACUAGCCUACAUGAGAAAGAUGAGGGAAUUAGCCUUCCCCAUUUCCCCAUAUGUUUACAACCGCUUGAUAAUUCUCCAUUCCUCUUCAGGCCGCAAGAAAAAUAUUCCUAGAAUUCUUACUCUAAUGAAGGCUGAUGGUGUCUCCCCACAUACAUCCACAUACAACAUUCUCUUGAAGAUAGAAGCUGAUGACCAUAAUAUUGAAGGGCUCUCAAAGGUAUUCAUUGAAAUGAAACAAGCAAAAGUUGAACCAAAUGAAAUCACCUAUGGCAUCCUAGCAAUUGCACAUGCUGUUGCGAGACUGUACACAGUAUCUGAGACAUACAUUGAAGCAAUUGAAAGAUCAAAAACUGGUAAUAACUGGUCUACGCUAGAUAUUCUGCUUAUCUUGUAUGGUUAUUUGGGGAAGGAAGAGGAGCUAGAGAGGACUUGGAAGUUUGUGGAAGAGCUUCCUCAUGCUAGAACUAAAAGCUUUGUGUUAGCAAUUGAAGCAUUUGGAAGGAUAGGCCAUGUAAGUAGAGCCGAAGAAAUAUGGGCAGAGAUGAAAUCAAACAGAGAAUUGAAGUUUACAAAGCAGUUUAAUUCCAUAAUAUCAGUCUACUGCAGGCAUGGGCUUGUGGAGAAAGCAUCUGAGGUGUUCAAACGAAUGGAAGCAAAUGGAUGCAAGCCAAAUGCUAUAACGUAUCGCCACCUUGCACUAGGUUGCUUAAAGGUUGGUUUGAUAAAGGAAGCAUUGAAGACUAUGAACAUGGGGAAGAGUGAAACUCUGGGUUUUCAGGUAAGAAGAUCUACACCGUGGUUGGAGACUGCUCACAUGGUACUUGAGGUUUUUGCAGAUUUGGGUGACUUGGAAAAUGCAAAAAUGUUAUUUGAAGAAUUCAAGGAAACAAAGUAUUGUAGGUACACCUUUGUCUAUAAUACCCUUCUAAGGGCUUAUGUGAAGGCAAAAGUUUAUGAUCCAGAACUGUUAAGGAAGAUGAUUUUGGGUGGAGCAAGGCCUGAUGCUGAAACAUACAGCCUCGUGAGACUCUUAGAACAGUUUAAGAACUGAUAAUAUCACGUGAGGAGAGAUGCUUUAAGUUAUAGAAAAAAGAACAGAUCAACAUUGUAAUCUUUAUAUUGCAGUAAGUCUGGAAUUCGAAGCAGAUGUUAUUGGUUGGGAACAUUUCAGUGGAAAAGAUGAAAAAUCAAUGUUGAGAACAGCUGUAUCUUUGCAAGAUUUGUGCAAAUGAAAGUCUUUGGCACUCUGGAGAGCUUGAGCAGAAGUUAUUUUGAUCUCUAGAGGCGAAUUGUGUGAGGGAUUUAAGGUUAUUAAGGGAAGUGGAAUAUUCAGAUUACAAAAUUGCUGAUAUCACGAGCUGAAACCAGUUAUCUACUUUGAAGUGUGGUUUCACAUCCCUACCUAUAGGACUGCAGAUUGUUCAUGUUGGCAGUAAUAUGACCUAUGCCUACUGAUCUACAUUCUGGAGUAUAGCUCCCAUGAUAUCGGUGAAGAAUGAUUUGAAAGGAGUAGCUGCUUCUGCUAGAACCGGGCUGUAGAUAUUUUUGAAUACGGAAGGCAAUAAAAACAAUAUUAAUGGAAGUAAAGAAAAUUUGAAGGCGAACAUGAUGUCUCGGCAUCUUGUAGGAUCUUUAUCUUCUCCUACAGAGAGAGAAAUGGAGACCAAGCGCCUUCCAUCAAACUAUUCCUAAAGUUACCAGCAUAUAUUAUCACAUCCUCUAAAAGAGUGCUCUUUUAUACCAUGCCAAAAUCCCAACAUCCAGAUGAAGUCAUCUGAUCACAUAGUGCACCAGCAAUAGGCUAUCAGUUCAAUCAGCAGGUAUAUUGGCAUCUUGAGAGCAUUCUAGAGUUUGGCAGAUCUGCUUCCUGAAGCAUUGCCAUGGAUGUUCUUGGUCAUGCUUAUAAUCUGGUAUACCAUCCAUCAUCUCUAAUCAAGUUACUGCUAGAGUGCAAAUAAUUAAUCACAAGAUUGAGACUUCAGGCACCAUUAACUUCCCAUGGGAAAGCAUGUCAGUCAGAUUUAUGUAGCUGUUGCCUGCAUAAGCAUCUCUCUCUACAAGUGGGCAUCAUAAGUUUCAUUCAUCGCAUGACAAAGGAGUGUUCAGAGGUUCUUUGUUUCAUAGGCCCGGUACUGAAGGUAGUUGGUUAUCAAAACCUGCAACCAGUGGCUUCUUGCAUGAUUGGCCUCCAUGAACUUUAUGCUGUCACAACUUAAUUGCUCAAUUAUUUGCUUAGCUUUUUUGUUUGAAGCCCCUAGAAUGGUGAGUUCAUAAUUUUCCAAAAUCAACCGCUAGUAUAAUCUUAGGGAGCAGAUGUCAGUUCAGCUCCAGAUCCAAAAAAGUCGUCAUAUUUGUCAUACAGCAGUUCCCUUUGCCAAUAUCAAAUUUCAGUUGGCAUUGCUGCUGACAAAAUCCAUCUUUCAUUUUGCAUGCAUUCCAAUAAUUUGAAUUCUUUGGAGUUGCUAACAUCACUAAUCUCUUGCUCUUUUUGUUCCAGUAAUUUCAACUCCUUGGCUGGUGCAUUUCAAGUGAUGUGAUGUAGGGAUGUGAAUGGCAGAAUUCAGAGAUAACAGGAUUGUGAGUGAUAAUUAGAGCAAAGUGAUGUCAGUCUAUCUGCACAAUAUUUUCUCUUGGGGUUGUCUGCAGUCGAUUACAUAAAUUGUAAUCAUGUAUCCUUUGCAUAUCCUUUUUUUCCCCUUCUUUUUGAUGAAACAAACUAAGGCCUAGUUAAGUAGCUCACAAUAAUAACAGGUCCCGUUUCCUGCCGAACAAAAUUCAGAAUCCAGCUAAAUGUUAAGGGCAGCAACUCAGCACCAUUUUUUUUCCCUUUUAUUUCCCGUAACAGGAUGGGCAUGGAACUAUUUGCAAUUCAUUUUACCUGUUUGCUGGCAUGCAAGUACUUGGUCCUGUUAGAAAUGAUUCGUCAUCAUCCAAAUCUUUUUGCAUCAAAUUUGUGGUUGGCUGUAGAACAGAAUUCCAGCUUGAGAAGGCUUUAUGUAACAACUGAGGAGAUCUUAGAACUCCAAGUUAUCAACAUACAAGUCUCAUGUCAAUCCUCUCAAAUAAUGGAUAAGACAGUAAAACAAUGUUUGAUUUAACAAAAA